GUAGGAAAAAGCCAGAAAACAGCCUGGCUAGAAACUACCCAAAACCCUUCUAAGAAACAAGACAGCAUUUGAAUUACAUGGAUUCACAGUUUUUUUUUGUAAAAUUGUUAUUGAAAGGCUACAAUGUGUCUAUUUUUAAUAGUCCCUUUGUAACUCCAGGUGUAGCAGUCACAAAAGACAUGUUUUGCUGUUUGCUGGUGUACAGCAUGGCUUCUCCAUUGGUGCAAGGGGUUACCACAGGCUCCUAACUUUUAUGUAGCAGAGUUUUUACACCAAACGCCCUGUCCUAACACAAUCCUAAAGUAAACCACCUUCACAGGAAACCCAAGUUUAACUCUGAUGUUAUCUGGAUAAGAUCAACUGGUUUACGGUACAGACCUCAGGGGUCACCGAAUAGUUAGGUGAGUGCGUUAAAGUCUUCACCAGUCACCAGAUCCUAACUCUACCUAAUACCUUAAAGAGUUUCUGGAUUUUAAAGCACUCUCAAUAAUCACCAAACCAUUUUGCCUGAUCUGAUCUCAUUUCACCUUUGUUCACAGCUGUCAAUUAAACAAAAAAUGAGUGAAAAUCCUCAGGAAAUAACAAUGUUUAAAAAAAAAAAAAAAAAAAAAAAAAAGUUCUAUAUGCAGUUACAUCACCAGUAGCAGUGCCAAGAAGCAAGGAAGAUGGGUCACCACAUUUUGCCAGAAAAAAUAAAAAAAAGCCUUACUAAGCCACACUGAAGCAGGGGUUUUCCAGCUCCAAUUAGUCACCUGUAUUGAACCUCAACCUCACCCAGGUCUAUGAAAAUCUACCUUUGAGUAUAAGCCGCAAAGGUGAUGUUAUUAAGAAAAGAAAAAAAACCCCGCUAAUAAUCUUUACCUAACAUAUGUUACAUCAGUCUGCAGGCUAACGGAUUCGGGGUUAUGCAUCGGUGCAAUUUACUAGCACGUUCCACACACCGCGGAAAAACACUCUGCUGAUGCAGAAUCUAAGAUCAUCUAUCUAUCUAUAUUAACAGCUGUCAACUGUCAAGAUUGAUACAAC
ensembl:lncRNA